UACGAAGGGGGCUAGCGUUGCUCGGAAUCACUGGGCGUAAAGGGUUCGUAGGCGGUGUAGCAAGUCGGGAGUGAAAUCUCUGGGCUCAACCCAGGGGCUGCUUCCGAAACUGCUGUGCUAGAGUGUGGGAGAGGCGCGUGGAAUUGCAGGUGUAGCGGUGAAAUGCGUAGAUAUCUGCAGGAACACCCGUGGCGAAAGCGGCGCGCUGGACCACUACUGACGCUGAGGAACGAAAGCUAGGGGAGCAAACAGG
rnacentral:rRNA from 1 species